rnacentral:miRNA from 1 species
AUUUUUUUGACUGUAAUUUUAUA